rnacentral:rRNA from 1 species
CCUACGGGUGGCAGCAGUGAGGAAUAUUGGUCAAUGGGCGCGAGCCUGAACCAGCCAAGUAGCGUGAAGGAUGACUGCCCUACGGGUUGUAAACUUCUUUUAUAAAGGAAUAAAGUGAGGCACGUGUGCCUUUUUGUCUGUACUUUAUGAAUAAGGAUCGGCUAACUCCUUGCCAGCAGCCGCGGUAAUACGGAGGGUCCGAGCGUUAUCCGGAUUUAUUGGGGUUAAAGGUAGCGUAGAUGGGUUGUUAAGUCAGUUGUGAAAGUUUGCGGUUCAACCGUAAGAUUGCAAUUGAUACUGGCAGUCUGGAGUAGAGGUGAGGUAGGCGGAAUUCGUGGGGUAGCGGUGAAAUGCUGAGAUAUCACGAAGGAACCCGAUUGCGAAGGCAGCUUACUAAACUGUGACUGACAUUGAUGCUCGAAAGUGUGGGUAUCAAACAGGAUUAGAUACCCCUGGUAGUC